AAAAAAAAAAAGACUUCGGGCGUUCUGCUGCAUCGGUGGCUGGCUUCCAUCCUUAGUUCUACUCACUCCUGUUGCUUCGCGUGCUCCACCUUCGCUUAGCUCAGGCCUCCUGUGAAUCAGUUUUGAGGCUAAAAGAAGUUCCAAGAAGGAGGGGCUGUAGCCCUUUAAGGACUUCCCCGCGACCGAGUCAGAGAUCAGUUUAAAAAUGCCAACUCACAGAGCGCGCUGCAUUCUGGGAAGCUGAGUGUCACCGUACGAACUUCAUUGACCGGAAUGCACUGCAAAAACACACGCCUAUACUUCCUUUUGCUCUUUAAACUGUAGUUUGACGUAAAGCUGGUCUAAGCAAGUUGCCUAGGCCGAGGGUUAGCCACACCUUUUCAGCUAUUGGCCAGUUGGUUAGUUGGUAGGCGUGGCUUAGAGAAACUCCUCCAGGCAAGGGGGUGGCCUCCUUGCCAAUCAGAGCCCAGACGCCUGAAUGGGCGGGAGUAAGCAGAGGUGCUGGCGCCCCCGAGUGGGUGUGGUCACGUUGCCCAGCAAUGGGCGGUGAUUGGCCCUGGGUGGUUCAUUCGCGGCUCGUGCGUCACGACGCCGCCAGCUGAUCGGAGACUGGAGCCGGUGUGUGCUGGGCGCUGGGAAGAGACAGAGCGGUCGGCCGUGCGGACAGGUCGCAGUGAUUUUGCUCCUCUGUCCUCAGCAACCCCCGCACCCAGCAUCAGGAACCUGUGCCUCCCACACCCUCACCUGGCUGAGCCGCAGUAGUUCUUCAGUGGCAAGCUUUAUGUCCUGACCCAGCUAAAGCUGCCAGUUGAAGAACUGUUGCCCUCUGCCCCUGGCUUCGAGGAGGAAGAGGAGAAGCAGCAGCUUUGCCUAUCAUCUGGAAGUGUGUCCCUCCAGCACUGGGUACAUGGCUCUGCUGUCCUCAUCCAACGUGGAGCCUCAGAGGUGAGAAAGGGCAGCCUGGAAGCAACAGAGGCAGGCACAAGACAGUGGAGGACCUGGCCUGGAGCCACAAGGGCCUAUCCGCACAUUGGUCAGAGAGACACGUAGAAGCCUGGAGAACACCAGGAAAGAGAGCAGCCAGCCAGCCUCAGUGAAAGACAUGUGCUUCCAGCCAUCUCCUCUC
rnacentral:lncRNA from 1 species